AUCUAAGACUGGUCAGCUAGAGUCUUGUAGAGGGGGGUAGAAUUCCAUGUGUAGCGGUGAAAUGCGUAGAGAUGUGGAGGAAUACCGGUGGCGAAGGCGGCCCCCUGGACAAAGACUGACGCUCAGGGUGCGAAAGCGUGGGGAGCAAACAGGAUUAGAUACCCUGGUAGUCCACGCUGUAAACGAUGUCGAUUUGGAGGUUGUGCCCUUGAGGCGUGGCUUCCGGAGCUAACGCGUUAAAUCGACGCCUGGGGAGUACGGCCGCAAGGUUAAAACUCAAAUGAAUUGACGGGGGCCCGCACAAGCGGUGGAGCAUGUGGUUUAAUUCGAUGCAACGCGAAGAACCUUACCUACUCUUGACAUCCAGAGAAUUUAGCAGAGAUGCUUUAGUGCCUUCGGGAACUCUGAGACAGGUGCUGCAUGGCUGUCGUCAGCUCGUGUUGUGAAAUGUUGGGUUA
rnacentral:rRNA from 1 species